UUGAAAUUAUAGGCGAGGGUUGUAGCUGGCCUCUCGGGGCAUGUGCACGCCCGAGCCCUUAAUCCACACACACCUGUGAACCUAUUGUAAAGGCCUUUUCACGGGCCCUUACGUCUUUAUAAACCCAUCGUAUGUCUCAUAGAAUGUAAUUAUAUGUCCUCGCCUUAAAAAAGCGUUGAUAAACUUAUA
rnacentral:misc_RNA from 1 species